rnacentral:lncRNA from 1 species
GGAACUAUGGUUGAUCAUCUCUAUGCUCAGUUUCAUGAGACUAUGUUUGGUUGUUUUUCAUUACAUUCUUUUAUUCACUCCUUUUCUUCUCCUUUCUGUGUCUUUUUUGAUCUUUUGUAUAAAUAUCAGCAUCUAGAGUGACUGGAGAUAAAGCUGUAUUGGUUUCCAAGCCUGUCUUAGCAAACUACCCAAGGCUGAGUGGCUUAAACAACAGACAUUUGUUGUCUUACAGUUCUCGAGGCUGCAAAGACCAAGGUGGGAGUAACCCUGACUUUUCCAGGAACUUGCUCCUUGGCUUGACGAUGGCCACCUUCUAGCAAUGACUCACAGGGACAUCCCUCUAUGUGUCAGAUGUGUCCUAAUCUCCUCUACUCAUAAAGACAGCAAUCUAAUUGGAUUAGGACCCACCUUACUGACCCAAUUUUAACUUAAUCACCAUUUUUAAGGACAGUGUCCCUGAGUGUAACCGUAGGCUGAGGUUAGAGAAAUUCCAUUUUUAAUACUUGGAAGGAGGCACAAUACAGUCCAUAACAAGGGCUAUUUUUAUUUUUAUGCUUUUGCAGUGCUUGUACGAAUGGCAAGAGCAUUGAUCUGGUUAAAUUUCUUCUUGAUAAGAUUGUGGUAAACAUCAAUCAGCAAGGAAGAGAUGGGCACACAGGACAUGAUGCCAUUGUCACACUCCUGAAGCGUUAUGAGACCCCAGGAUGAAAUGCCCUGUAAUGAAUAUUCUCAGCCUGGAGAAGGUGGAGUUGUGACCUUUGCGAAGCAUAUGCAUGGCUAAGCCCUCAUUUGGAACCAUCUGUUGACCGGAGCUUCCUGUCGCUGCCAUCUCCAGUUAUCGAGCCAACACCUACUGCUCCAAGUCAGAUGUGGAUACGUUUUGCUGAGAGGUGUCCAUUGUCUGCCAGCUCAGCCAUCCCUGUGUCCUUCAGCUUGUGGGCGGGCGCUUGUCAUUGCCAUUCCGUACGUCUCAGGAGGCUCUCUGUUCUCCCUCCUUCGCUACACAAGAGGGUUCUUGAUUUACAGUCUAAGUUAAUUAUUGCAGUAGAUGUUGACAAAGGCAUGGAAUAUACCUUCACAACCUGACCCAGCCAAUUACACACCAUGACUGGAAAAGGACUCUUGGACAGUGAGGCCCUCUUCACAUUCCAUCAGAGUGCGUCUUACAGCAAUGAUGACAACAUCUGUUGGCAUUCCUUUAUUGCAGCUACGCUUACUGUAUUGAACUCACUGCUUGGGACAUGCGAUCAAACAAGAUGACAAAGAUCCUUCCUCUCAUGAAACGCACAGGUCAGAAGUAGGGGUGGGAGGAGACAGACAAUGGAAUAAAGUAAUUUCAGAUCAUCAAAA